rnacentral:rRNA from 1 species
UACGUAGGGUGCGAGCGUUAAUCGGAAUUACUGGGCGUAAAGCGUGCGCAGGCGGUCCGCAAAGUCUGAUGUGAAAGCCCCGGGCUCAACCUGGGAACCGCGCUUGAGACUGGCACGCUCGAGUUCGGGAGAGGAUGGUGGAAUUCCCAGUGUAGAGGUGAAAUUCGUAGAUAUUGGGAAGAACACCGAUGGCGAAGGCAGCCAUCUGGACCGACACUGACGCUGAGGCGCGAAAGCGUGGGGAGCGAACCGG